UAUCUGAAGCCUAUCCAGCCAGCAUCAGGCACAAGGUCAGAAUUAGUUCCAGACUUGAACACCUUAUCAAGUGAAGAAGUUACUAAAAUGUGGCACUUUGUGCCAAUGGUCUACUGCCAGACCGCCCUCCUACAUAUGGAAAAGUCAUCUCAGAGAACAGCUGGACAGUGGUGAACUCGGAGCCAGCAUGCUGCUGUGGGUUUCACUGGGCCUUGGUCGCGGGGGAAUUCUCAAGUCGCUGUCAGAAGGAGCCAACUGGAGCCAAGGAUCGGUGAGGCAAUCGUGACAGCAGAAAUAGAUGUUGAGAAGGUCAGCUGCAUGUAGGGUGACUCCCCUGUUGAGACGUUCAGACGGGAGAAGUAGGGGGCCGCCAGUAGUAGAAACAGGAUGCACCGAAUUUUUAAAAGGACAGCUUCCAGCAUGGUUUUAACCUCGUUGUUUUAAAGGUUGUUUUUUUCUAUUGACUUUAACCUCCACGAUUCACUUCUGCUUUUAUUGGAUUAUUUAUUUAUUGAACUUUUUGAACCACUGCACUUUACUUAACUUUGAACACUGUUUUGUUUUGUUGUUUUAAAUAAAAGCACAUUGCACUUUGUACAUCAUCCCCUUGC